ACCGAAAUGGUGAAAUGGUAAACACUCUAUUUUGAGGUAGUAGAUUAUGCGGGUUCAAGUCCCGUUUUCGGUA
rnacentral:tRNA from 1 species